AAUAGGAAAAACCUUAUAACCGGUCUGGCUGCUCUUCCCAUUAUAAUAGCCCUCCAAUUAUGACCCGCCACGUGUCUAUUUCAUUUUAUAACAGAUGGACCUGUUUACACCAAAGCAUUCCCUAUCUAUGUAAUUUCAGAAUCCCUCAUACGGCUCUAAACUCCUCUCACUCAACAUCCAAAUUUUAUCUUCAUCGGCACACACCGGCCACCUAAGAAGUCGCGGGUCACCUCCUUUCUCCAUCGAAGUUUUUCACCUUCUCCUGUGCGGGUCACGUCCUCCUCUCCAUUGAAGCUGUUCAUCUUCUCCGGCGCGGGUCUCCUCCUCUCCAUCGAAGCGGGUCACAUUCACCAGCUAAUUUCUUGUGAUCUUCCUCUUCUUGGUUCCAGCAAAUGACAAGUUCAAGUACCAAUAUCGGUUCAAGUUCGUGGACUUCAAGAGGGAAAGACAAAGCAAGUUUGGACAGACCACUUUGCUACUGUGGCAUUCCAUCAAAACUCAGAAUCUCUAGAAAGGGUAAUAGUUUUGGCAGAAAAUUUUACAAUUGCCCAAACUAUAAGAUCAAUAAACAAUGUGGAUUUUUUGAAUGGAUUGAUCUUGAAAGUGAACAAAAUUCAUGCUGCAAGAUGACGUUGGAGUUAGCUCAAUGAAUGAAUGAGAGGUUAUUUCACGAACAUGUGACGAAGGAACAAGCCAAAUAUAAAGCAAUGGAGAAAAAGUAUAAUGCUACCUUGAAAGUCUUGUUGAUAUCGUGGUUGUUUUUUAUUGCGAUUUAUGCUGUAAUUUUUAUGUAUCCCAAAAACCAAAAUGUAUGUUGGGCAGUGCCUCGACUCAUGUAAGCUAUUUUAGCUUUGGACAACUGAUUGUAAUGAACAUGUGAUGUAAUUAGUAUGGUUUUAUGAAUUUAAUGAACAUGUGCUUUUCUUUA